AACUCAAAGGCAGCUAAGAAGGAAAGGAUUUUUUCUCUCGCGCAGCCUCUCAAACGCAUCUCCUCCCGUCCCUAGGGUUUCUGCCGCCGUCCCUCACUCCGCCGUCGUCCCCUUGCUGCCGACUACUCAAAGGACCCGCAAUCUCGUGCUCCCGCCGACUGCGGCCGAGGCAGAUGCGACGAGCACAUCAUGAAGACCGGCGCGUGCGGGAGGCAACACCUUGAUAGUAGCCAUGGCGAGGUCGGAGGAGUCGACCUACACAAGGUCACGGUGGAGUGUGCGGGGACGCCAGGCCUGUAUGGUCCUGGCGCUCGCGGAGGGGACGCCGCCGACCGAGUGCCCCCCGGGAACUGAGACGGCCAACCAGGAGAUGCUCCAGGCGCCCUACUGCUAGAUAUAUGGAGUGUACGGAGGAGUUAUAUCUGCUACCUGGGGACAAUGGGUCAGCUAUCGCCACUUGGACACUGCCGCGAACCACGAAAACAAGCACCGUGACGGCGAGGCUGCCGCUGACGGUGUGCACUCCGGCACCAUCCCCUCCUUCAAGGUCCCAAGCUUUGGUGCAGCGACACGCAACACAACAGGUUGCUUCUUGCCCUCAGACGGACACUCAGGUAUACAUGCACUCGAUCUCCUCUAAUCUAAUUGGAUUAUGUUAUAGUUCAGGAGAAGAAUAUUCGGGAUUUAGGAUCCGCAUUGAACUAGAUUAGUCCUACUGUCCUGCUACUAUGAGUUUAUACAUACACAAGUCUGGAGGCCAUAAGGUUCUCAUAUUUAUAUGCAUUCUUCAGGCAUAUGAGUUGGACCACCACAUCAAUGUUGUUAAUCCAAGUUCGAACAAAUAUGGUUCAUCCUCACACUGAUUUUGUAUUGUCUCUGGUAUAAAUCUUUGUUGCUCUAUUUUUCGUCCCGUUCAAUUCCAGCGGAUCCCUUUUCAUUGCUAUGGUGCCCCCUGACCAGAUGCAGCGUGAUAACAAUAUGAGGCGAAGCCAUCCUCUUGAAUAGUGUAAGGUUGUUAACCUUGUGCUGUUGUUAAGGAGUUGUCUUUGUCACUUGCUUAACAGUUUGAUUCACGCACACGUGAAAGAUUUUCUUUCUUUGGACCAGUAGCCUCAGUUCGUUCUGACAUAGAGCCAUCUGAUCUGUGAUGUUUCUUGGGCAUCAACUUAUACUUACAUCUAUGUCGAUGUUGUACCACAUGUACGCUGCAGAGGCAGACAACCAGAGUUUUUUAACAUCAGCAGAAGUUGUCUGACUGAA